rnacentral:rRNA from 1 species
UGGGGAAUCUUCCGCAAUGGACGAAAGUCUGACGGAGCAACGCCGCGUGAGUGAUGAAGGUUUUCGGACUGUAAAACUCUGUUGUCAGGGAUGAAGGUGCGAUCUGCGAAUAGUUGAUCGUAUUGACGGUACCUGACGAGGAAGCCACGGCUAACUACGUGCCAGCAGCCGCGGUAAUACGUAGGUGGCAAGCGUUGUCCGGAAUUAUUGGGCGUAAAGAGCAUGUAGGUGGGCUUUUAAGUCCGAUGUGAAAAUGCGGGGCUCAACCCCGUAUGGCAUUGGAUACUGGAAGUCUUGAGUGCAGGAGAGGAAAGGGGAAUUCCCAGUGUAGCGGUGAAAUGCGUAGAUAUUGGGAGGAACACCAGUGGCGAAGGCGCCUUUCUGGACUGUGUCUGACACUGAGAUGCGAAAGCUAGGGUAGCAAACG